rnacentral:rRNA from 1 species
GAUAAACGCUGGCGGCGUGCCUAAUACAUGCAAGUCGAACGGAGAGCUGUAGCAAUACUGCUCUUAGUGGCGAAUGGGUGAGUAACGCGUUGGUGACCUGCCCCGAAGAGGGGGACAACAGUUCGAAAGGACUGCUAAUACCCCGUGUGGUUACAAGGAUUAGAUGCCUUGUAUCUAAAGGAGUAAUCCGCUUCGGGAGGGGCCUGCGUCCCAUCAGCUAGUUGGUAGGGUAAUGGCCUACCAAGGCGACGACGGGUAGGGGGCCUGAGAGGGUGGCCCCCCACACUGGCGACUGAACAACGGGCCGACGACACCUACCGGGUGGGCUG